rnacentral:rRNA from 1 species
UAGGGAAUCUUCGGCAAUGGGGGGAACCCUGACCGAGCAACGCCGCGUGAGUGAAGAAGGUUUUCGGAUCGUAAAGCUCUGUUGUUAAGGAAGAACGAGUGUGAGAAUGGAAAGUUCAUGCUGUGACGGUACUUAACCAGAAAGGGACGGCUAACUACGUGCCAGCAGCCGCGGUAAUACGUAGGUCCCGAGCGUUGUCCGGAUUUAUUGGGCGUAAAGCGAGCGCAGGCGGUUAGAAAAGUCUGAAGUGAAAGGCAGUGGCUCAACCGGGGAGGGUCAUUGGAAACUGGUUGACUUGAGUGCAGAAGAGGAGAGUGGAAUUCCAUGUGUAGCGGUGAAAUGCGUAGAUAUAUGGGGGAACACCAGUGGCGAAGGCGACUCUCUGGUCUGUAACUGACGCUGAGGCUCGAAAGCGUGGGUAGCAAACAGG